AUGCAAUUCAUAACAAGCAGUCGUAACACAAUGAUAUCGAUCGCUAUGAACAGGACACGCUUGAAUAACGCCAUAUGUUGACAAUUAAUAUGUUGUGCUCAUCGUUCGACGGCAGCGAUGUGGAUACUCUCAAUAUAUCGUUUUCUGAAAUGGACUUGGUAUGUAGAUUUUUGUGGUAAUGGAGAUUCUACAUGCAGACAUUGUGUUAUUAUACUCAAAAGACAAAGAACAAGCGAACAAUGAGACGCUAUAUUACUUCUAUUUACAUUGUAAAUGUAUAUUUUUAAUAUGCAAAUAUAAUUUCACAAUAUUUAUCUUUCAAAUUGUGCUUUUAAUGUUUCAUGCAGACUGAUAUUUGAAUCUUAUCUAAAGUAUUUGGAAUGGCUUAUCAUAGGCUUAGUCGCAAAAUAUGUAGAAAGCGGAUAUAAUAUCGUUGAUGUUGUAUUUGCAUUGGCAUAAUUUGUAUAAACACUUUAUAUUAGACAGUCUCCAUCGUCAUAGAAAAGCGGCGGCUAGUUAUAAGUACUUUUUAGUCUGCCAAGACCACUGGAUGCUAUUUCUAAAUAUUAUUUAGAUCUAUUAGAUCAGUGCUGGUAUGUAUAUUGUAUAUUAAGUCAUAAUAGUAAAGUCAAAAUGAAAAUUUCGAUUUAUAGCAUACGCCAUCUUGAAAGCAUUACUCGGCAG